rnacentral:lncRNA from 1 species
AAGGACGUCUGCUCAUCAAAUGCCGCCAACCCGGAUUCUGCACCCAUCACAUUUAAAACAUUACGCGCACGGCGUCACACGGUUCUAGGUACGCCUCAGGUGAUAGGAGACUGAUCAACAAUUUUUUCUUCCUAUGUGGUGGACCCUUCAAAGCUGAGAUUCACACCUGGUGCAGCGGCAGGAGCACCCUGGUCCUCAAAUGCAGCCCACUCUGCAGCGCGCACACAGGUACACUCAGCUCCAGCAUGCACACCACGCCGAGCAUCUCCGCAGGCAUUUCAAGCAAAGCAGCGACUGCAGAAGCAUCGAGUGCAGGAGCUAGUGCAGCACCUGAUCCGCCGGAGGCUCUGGCAAAUGCGGAGGGCUCUGGGAAUGCCUGCCAGGGCGCCUGCUUCCUCCCUUGCGUGAAUGGCUCAAACUGCUCCCCUGAUUGCUCGCUAUCUGCCGUUCGCAUAAGUGCAUCGAAUUCGUACUCCUGCACACCGGGACACAACAUUGUUAACCCAUGCACCUAAGGCUCAAUACGUUCAUAAUUACCCCCACACCAAGCCAGGCCUGCUUCUUUCAUUGCAAACAUGUCAUCUGUCCCAACAGUACAUUUAGGCCACAACACUCCCCUUGCCGUGCUGCAAGAAUGCUUGUAAGGCAACUUGCCUUCCCGGCCGUUGAGGUACCAGAUUGUGUCAUGCCAAUUUCGCACAAAGAGCACAUUUGUGGCAGAUCAGCCGGCUUUUAUUCCAGAAGGACCCAUUAUUGGCUCACCAUCUGUGCAGAGGGGUCCUCCACAACCACCGCAUCAUCGUCCAUAUCCAUUAUUACCAUGUUGUCAUCGUGAUCAUGCCCCUGCCCAAGCAAAUGCAUCACGGUGAUUGAUUGACAAACCAUCGCUCAGUGCAGCACAUGAACUUAGUCAAUCCUGAGCCCCCCAGAGAGCAAAUCUGCUCAAGGACUUGAUUGCAUUCCCUCCCUGCAUGCUUUGAACACAUGGAAAAGUGGAAAAGUGUUCAAAGAACAGGAUGAAAGUGCUUGGCUCACCUUGAGGAUGAGGUCCUGGGGGAUGUGCAGGGAGGUCACAUUGUCAUCGUCAUCAGAGGACGAGGAUGAGUCGUCGCCGUCCCCGUCCCCUAAGAGCCGCAGCGUCCGGAAGUUGCCCACGCCCUCCUUGUGCAAGUAGUCA